CAACCCUCAAGCCCUGCUUGGUGUUGGGGCGCUGCCGCCUUUUUUACAGGGAGGCAGGCCCUGAAAUAUAGUGGCGAGCUCGCCAGGACUCCGAGCGCAGUAGUUUACCACCUCGCUUAGGAAGGACUGGCGGUGCCCUGCCGUAAAACCCCCUAAUUUCUGAAA
rnacentral:misc_RNA from 1 species